UACGUAGGGUGCGAGCGUUGUCCGGAAUUAUUGGGCGUAAAGGGCUCGUAGGCGGUUUGUCGCGUCGGGAGUGAAAACUCGGGGCUUAACCCCGGGCCUGCAGUGGGUACGGGCAGACUAGAGUGCGGUAGGGGAGACUGGAAUUCCUGGUGUAGCGGUGAAAUGCGCAGAUAUCAGGAGGAACACCGGUGGCGAAGGCGGGUCUCUGGGCCGUAACUGACGCUGAGGAGCGAAAGCGUGGGGAGCGAACAGG
rnacentral:rRNA from 1 species